GUAGAUGGAAGGAGAUGCCGGGGAAAAACUAGAGGCUAAGGAAGGCGCCAGAGGAAGAAGAAGGUCAGUGCGCUAAAGAAGGAAGACGUGAGCUCGUGAGGAGGAGUACGGGACGUGCUGAUAUUUAAAGGUGGUCUGAGAAGGGGUAAAAGCGGAAUUUUUACCGCGCCAGCGUUUCGAUUUUUUCGGGAGGAGUGGUUGUCGUGGGCGCCCGUUUCGAAAAGAUUGCAAUCAUCAAGCUGGAGACCGCGAAAUGGAAGGAUAUUUUCAAUGCGUUUGUUUCGGAAGGGAAGUUGAAAAGAAUUUCGAAGUAAAGACUAUGUUUUACUCCGAAACUGGGGGGCAUGUGUUGACGCCAGAUUUUGACACGUGUGAAAUCGGCGUUAAGAAAGGAAGAAAUUAGGAGAUGUGGCAAGACACAGAGGUCACGAUUGGAAAUCGGCCGAUUGGUGCUGCAGUGUUUCCGCAGAUGAAGUUGGUGGAAAUCGGCCGAUUGGGAGGCUGGAGCAAUUGGGCCGGUAUGGGCUUAAAGUGAACUAUGAAGAUAAAGAGGGGGUCCGCCCAUGGGAGCGCGAUGAUCAACUCCAGUAUGAAUCACACUUGUAAAUAUUUGUUUUCAUUUAAAAUUAGAGAUAGAGUCUUAGUCGGUUAAGAAAUUAGUUGUAACAAGCUAUAAAUAGCCACUUUCAUAGAUCUGUAAUCAC
rnacentral:lncRNA from 1 species